ACGCUCGACACCUACGGGAGCAGCAGUGAGGAAUAUUGGUCAAUGGGCGCUAGCCUGAACCAGCCAAGUAGCGUGAAGGAUGAAGGCUCUAUGGGUCGUAAACUUCUUUUAUAUAAGAAUAAAGUGCAGUAUGUAUACUGUUUUGUAUGUAUUAUAUGAAUAAGGAUCGGCUAACUCCGUACCAGCAGCCGCGGUAAUCUGAGCGGGCGUGGCAAGGC
rnacentral:rRNA from 1 species